CAGCCGCCGCGGUAAUACGGAGGAUCCAAGCGUUAUCCGGAUUUAUUGGGUUUAAAGGGUGCGUAGGCGGAUUAAUAAGUCAGUGGUGAAAGCCUGCAGCUUAACUGUAGAAUUGCCAUUGAAACUGUUAGUCUUGAGUUCAGUUGAGGUGGGCGGAAUGUGUCAUGUAGCGGUGAAAUGCUUAGAUAUGACACAGAACACCGAUUGCGAAGGCAGCUCGCUAAACUGACACUGACGCUGAGGCACGAAAGCGUGGGGAGCGAACAGGAUUAGAUACCCUGGUAGUCCACGCCCUAAACGAUGAUUACUCGAUGUGUGCAAUACACCGUACGCGUCUAAGCGAAAGCGUUAAGUAAUCCACCUGGGGAGUACGUUCGCAAGAAUGAAACUCAAAGGAAUUGACGGGGGCCCGCACAAGCGGAGGAGCAUGUGGUUUAAUUCGAUGAUACGCGAGGAACCUUACCUGGGCUUGAAAGUUAGUGAAUAACUUAGAAACAGUUAGUCAGCAAUGACACGAAACUAGGUGCUGCAUGGGUGUCGUCAGCUCGUGCCGUGAGGUGUUGGGUUAAGUCCCGUAACGAGCGCAACCCCUAUCAUUAGUUACCAGCGGAUUAUGCCGGGGACUCUAAUGAGACUGCCUACGCAAGUAGUGAGGAAGGUGGGGAUGACGUCAAAUCAUCACGGCCCUUACGUCCAGGGCUACACACGUGCUACAAUGGACGGUACAGUAGGUCGCUACAUGGCAACAUGAUGCUAAUCCGAAAAGCCGUUCUCAGUUCGGAUUGAAGUCUGCAACUCGACUUCAUGAAGGCGGAUUCGCUAGUAAUCGCACAUCAGCAAUGGUGCGGUGAAUACGUUCCCGGGCCUUGUACACACCGCCCGUCAAGCCAUGGAAGCCGGGGGUACCUAAAGUCGGUAACCGCAAGGAGCCGCCUAGGGUAAAACUGGUAACUGGGGCUAAGUCGUAACAAGGUAACCGUA
rnacentral:rRNA from 1 species